UCUCUCUCUCUAUCUAUCUAUCUCUCUCAUUUUCCUCACAAACUCACGCACACACAAAAAAAAACGCACACACCCAUCUCAUCCCUCUCUCGCUCUCGUUCUUGAUUCCGGCGUCGCGCCGCCGCGCUGCUCCGCCGGCAGUUGCCAGUGAAGUCGCCGCCGCCUGGAGUUGUUGCUUCUUCGCCUGAGGUCGACGGAUCUGGCCUUCAGCCGUUCGUCUCGCUCGGAGCUCCCGCCGCCGUUGGCUUGCCCGGAGUCGCCGCCGACUGCAGCUGCUUCGCCGGAGUCGCGGCCUGGAGUUGCUGCAGGCUCGUCCGGUGGUCAGUGGCUCGCUGGAGGAGCGCCGCCGCCGGCCGCUGCUGUUGGCAGCAAGAGCCCGGCAGCCGCCUCUCCCGGAGCCGCCGUCGCCGUGAGUCGCAGAGCUCCGACAAUCCACCAUCCUUUCUCUCUCGUUUUAUCACUCACGAUAGGUUCGUAAAUUUGAAUAAUUUUCAGAAAACUCAACUGUAAAGACUUGAUUUUGAAAUGAAAACUUGGUUUUCUGUAUUCCUAGUGAGAUACAAAUUCUAAUUCUGAUUUCUUGUGAAAGCUUUGAUGCGUAUACAAAUUCUGUAAACUGUAAACAAAAUCAUAUGUGAUCUCAUUCAUGUUGAAUUUCUGGAUAAUGCUAUGUAUGAAAAGGAAGAAAGUUGCGUGUAAUACCUUCACCGAAUCUUGUCAAAAGAAAACUCUGCGUUUAAGAAUUUGCUUGUUUUAGAGCUGAAGUGUUUGGAUGAAUUUAUAGAUGGGUCUCUGCGACAAUGAAAUCUAUGACUGUGAAAUUUUUGUGAGUGAAAAUCGGCUGCGCCUGAACAAUAAGAUUUGCUGCGGCUGUAUCUGUAUCUUAGAAAAAAAAUGAGAUUUGCUGUUGAAAACUGAGAUUUGGUUGAAGAAUUAAUGAGAUUAGAUUUGCUGCUGACAAAUUAGAUUUGUCUGUUGAAUCUUGAGAUUUUGCUUGCUGCAAUUUUUUUUUUACUACGUAAGAGUGACAAUAAAAAACUAAGCACGGGUGAGAAUAGAGUGGCUGAGGGAGCAUGGCGUGCUAGAUUUAAUACACGGAAUAAUAUCUAAAUUAAUAUCGUAGAUUUAAUUCUUCACAAGCCGGAAUAAAAUCACGACUCAAGAAAUAAUAAUAGAAAAAUAAUUCUAUUGUGAUUAAUAAAUAACAUGACUUAACUAAGUCAGUUAUGAAUCUGAAAUAAAUAAUUAUUGGCUUACUCAAUAAUUUUCAUCGCGGUUUUAUUUACGCGAAACUACUGACUUGGUAAUAAAAUAAUAAUCCUGCUUAAUUGAAUAUAAUCCAGUGUCAUAAGCUGAAUUUAAAUCAUAAAUAAUUACUGGGCUUGAUUUACUGAAAGAUGAAAUAAUAAUUAUCGUAUUACUGGAUUUAAAUAUAAUAAAAGAGCGGGUUGUUACAAUUUAUCUUGGUUGUAUAUAUCUAUAUCCGAAUACAUCUAUAGUUGAACAUCUUUCCAAAAAUCGGCAUUUAUAGUUGUAUAUAUUAUAUGUUGUUGUUGCUUACAUGAUUACAUAAAAAUUUGAAACUUUAUGGUGGUUGUUAUUGUUUACAUGAAAAUCUGAAGAUCUAUGGCUUUUGUUGUUGAUUAUAUGUUGUUGUUGCUUAUAUAAAUUCGAAAAUCUGAAAAUCUAUGGCUUUUGUUGUUGAUUUAUGUUGUUGUUGCUUAUUUAAAUCUGAAAAUCUGAAAACCUAUUAGUACUAUUAAUUUAAAAUAUUAUUUUGUUGUAGAUUUAUGGCUGAAAAUAGAAAAGAUGGAGAAAUGGGACUGCCCA
rnacentral:lncRNA from 1 species